AUUGAACGCUGGCGGCAUGCCUUACACAUGCAAGUCGAACGGCAGCACGGGGGCAACCCUGGUGGCGAGUGGCGAACGGGUGAGUAAUGCAUCGGAACGUACCCGGAAGUGGGGGAUAACGUAGCGAAAGUUACGCUAAUACCGCAUAUUCUGUGAGCAGGAAAGCAGGGGAUCGCAAGACCUUGCGCUUUCGGAGCGGCCGAUGUCGGAUUAGCUAGUUGGGGGGGUAAAAGCCUACCAAGGCGACGAUCCGUAGCUGGUCUUAGAGGAUGAUCAGCCACACUGGGACUGAGACACGGCCCAGACUCCUACGGGAGGCAGCAGUGGGGAAUUUUGGACAAUGGGGGCAACCCUGAUCCAGCCAUGCCGCGUGAGUGAAGAAGGCCUUCGGGUUGUAAAGCUCUUUCGGACAGAAAGAAAUCGCAUCGGCUAAUACUCGAUGUGGAUGACGGUACUGUCAUAAGAAGCACCGGCUAACUACGUGCCAGCAGCCGCCGUAA
rnacentral:rRNA from 1 species